rnacentral:rRNA from 1 species
CCUACGGGAGGCAGCAGUGAGGAAUAUUGGUCAAUGGCCGUAAGGCUGAACCAGCCAAGUCGCGUGAAGGAAGAAGGAUCUAUGGUUUGUAAACUUCUUUUAUAGGGGAAUAAAGGUAUCCACGUGUGGAUAUUUGCAUGUACCCUAUGAAUAAGCAUCGGCUAACUCCGUGCCAGCAGCCGCGGUAAUACGGGGGAUGCGAGCGUUAUCCGGAUUUAUUGGGCUUAAGGGGUGCGUAGGUUGGUUUUUAAGUCCGCGGUGAAAGUGUGUGGCUCAACCAUAAAAGUGCCGUUGAAACUGGAAGACUGGGGUGUGUGUGAGGUAGGGGGAAGGCGUGGGGGAGCGGUGAAAGGCAGAGAUA